CCUACGGGUGGCAGCAGUGAGGAAUAUUUGUCAAUGGGCGGGAGCCUGAACCAGCCAAGUCGCGUGAGGGAAGACGGUCCUAUGGAUUGUAAACCUCUUUAGUCGGGGAGCAAUGCCGGGCACGCGUGCCCGGAGGGAGAGUACCCGCAAACUAAGCAUCGGCUAACUCCGUGCCAGAAGCCGCGGUAAUACGGGGGAGGCGAGCGUUAUCCGGAGUUACUGGGUGUAAAGGGCGUGUAGGCGGGAAAGCAAGUCAGAUGUGAAAACCAUGGGCUCAACCUGUGGACUGCAUUUGAAACUGCUUUUCUUGAGUACUGGAGAGGCAGACGGAAUUCCUAGUGUAGCGGUGAAAUGCGUAGAUAUUAGGAGGAACACCAGUGGCGAAGGCGGUCUGCUGGACAGCAACUGACGCUGAGGCGCGAAAGCGUGGGGAGCAAACAGGAUUAGAUACCCCUGUAGUC
rnacentral:rRNA from 1 species